GGGCCCUUGGUUCCUUAUCUUUGUUGCUGCUGCUUAUCUGUACAGCAGUAAAUGUAUCCGCAUAGGCAAUCUGCUGUUUGCCUGUUGACAUUUAUCCAUAAUAUUCAACCUAUAAAAUAUUCAUGCACACAGCUUUGGUGUCUGCAGGAUUUGAAUGUGAGAAGGACAUAUUUUAAAAGGGAGACUAAUGAAUCAUCUGCAGUGUUUCAGACCCCUCAGGCAAAGGUUUUUUAAAGGUCAGUUAAUUCAGUGUGUGACCUGUGUAAGAGAUCUUGGGCAUAUAAGAAGUCAAAAAUAAUCCCUUGGAAGGUCAGAAAAAGCACAUCUUUUGCACGAGGAUGGCUCUGUAUUUCAUGGCAAGUAACUGUAUUGUGAUAGAAAACAUAAGAGGCUACCAAACACAAUUCAGUAGAGGGAAUCCUAGGACCAACAAGUCUGUGUAAUGGAUUCUUUACUCAGACCAGCCCUUGUGAACUACUCUCUGCUUGGGAGACUUUCCCUUUGUAAAACAGAGAGCCCAUGUCUACCUUUACGAAAAUAUUUCCGAUGAGAUUUGUUGUCUAGGAAUUAAAUCUUGACUUGCCAACAGGAUGGCAAUAGCACAAGAAAGGUUUAUAUUUAAAAUGGAGCCAGCAGUUCAUAUUGAUCUGUUUUCAGGUUAUUCGAGCUUUUGGUCCCAGAACUAGGGAUGAAUUUCAGCUUGUCAUACUGAACGUUCUCUCUGUGUCGGUGCAGGAACAGAGGUUUAUAGAGACAGCAUUUAUAAAGCUUCCUAUUCAGAUCUGCUGUAGGAUGCUUUUUUUUUUAAACAUAUAAAUGACGUAUACCAGAGCAAAUGUAAAAGCAAAGAAUUCAGUGAUUCUGUGCAAAUGAAACCCUGCUCGACCCCUCUUGCUUAAUGAGGUUAUGUGCGUCCUAUUUCACAAAGGAAGUGGAAUGCUGCAUUGGUAGAAACCAAAUAUUCCCUGUUGUCAAGGCAAAGGGAGCUAAAUGCAUUUAAAGCAGGAGCCAGUUUAGUAAGGAGAAAAUUUCCAAACGGUCAAAUACUCACUUUGCACAUGCUCCAGAUAUUACAGUGAUGUGCAUCAAA
rnacentral:lncRNA from 1 species